AAGGCAAGUUUACAGUGCUUCAUUUUGUGGACGUACUGCCAUUAUCCUGCUGAAAGAAAACCUUGUGGUGACCAUUUUCGAUUUUGCCUUCCUGAGGGUGAUGUCAUGUUGGACUGACAUGGACAAUU